AACUUAUGAUUGAUUUUUUCUUGAGUUUUAGGAGUCUUUGAGUACAAUUUAAUUACCUAAACUAACUUUAGUUGGUGAAUUUGAGGAUUUGUAACUCAAGGAAAAUACCCAAUCAAGAAUUUGAUCAAGAAUGAUCAGAAAAGAUGAAAGUGGAGCUAAAAAUAAGAAAAGAGAAGAUUGAGAAGAUACAACAAUCUUGCCUAUGUUUAGUUUUCGCGGAGCCAUUUCUGAUUGAAGAAGAUGCUUGAAUUUGGCUAAGUGUGACGAAAAGCAAGUCUGUUUCACACCAGGAAAUGAGAUAAUUUUGCUCCACGAAAAUUAUCUAAAGCAUGAAGACACAGGACUGAAGAAUGAAAAGAAGAAACACGUGAAGACAAAAUUCAAUUCGUCUCCACGAAAUUAGAGCAGAAGGAUAAUUUUGUCUUGAGUUCUAACCAUCUAUAAAUAGAAAUUAGUUCAUUUCUUAAAGUAGCAUGGAAUAUUUUUGAGUCUUAGAGCAGUCAUUGAACAUUGGAAGGAUUUAAAGGUUUUCAUCAUAGAGUUUGUAUUUUAUCUUUAUUUAAUCUUUAGUAUGUUUAUUAUUGCAUUUCAUCUUGUAUUUUCUUU
rnacentral:lncRNA from 1 species